AAGCGGCAAAUACAGUGCCUAAAUCACCCCACAAAGCACCUCACUAACGGGGAACCCAUCAUGUCCCAGAGGGAGUCAAGAAAAACGGCUGAUGCUAAAGACAAGCAUUCCUUCUUCACGGCCAAACUAAUAGGCGUCAGAACAACAACAGUGCAGACCCAAGAUGGCGACGGCAGUGGAGAUGACAGGGAAGGGUCUAACCCCAAUCCCUACACGAGACUAUGCACAUACAGG